rnacentral:lncRNA from 1 species
UUAUUUUAUACAUAUAUACUAUCAUUAAGUCAUUAACAACAUUGAAUAUACAUUUAAACUCCUCCUUUUUAUGCAAUGAGUGUUCUAUUCUAAAUCACAAAAGAAUGGUUGUGUAUUUGUUUACAGCUCCCACAACCAAAAUCCACAUAUAAAAACAAAGUAAACAAGAAAACCGGUAGCUUGAAACUCCAACAUACACUAACCGUUCUAUUCAUCACUUCCAAAUCACUCUUCAUAAUUAUAUUCCAGAAAUGUAAUGAUGACAAACACACAGAACAACAAGCAUCAAAAUUAUUAUUAUCAAAUACCGAAACGGCAUAAUCAAACCAGAAGCUAAACCUAAACGAAAACGGAUUGGACUCGAAACCAAUAUGCAUUGAGAUUGCAGAUGGUAUUCGACUUCAAACACAAGGCUUCAACCACACGAUCACAUCAUUUUCAUCAGAACACAUCGGAAGAGAAUUGUGCGACAUUCUAUUUCAAACAAUCAAAGGAAGUAAAUUGAAAUAAAUCAAAAACGGAGCCUACAAACAGUAUAACACGACUCCAAUGGUUACCGUAAUGCCGAAAUGAAACAACUCAAAACAGAUGAUAUCAAUUCAAUUAACAAACAUUACUCAACAGGAACAUCGGCAUCAUAACAAAGAGCAUGGUAUUAGUGACACAUCAAAGUACAACACCAGAAUAUUCAUCAUGGUUGCAGUCUAUUUUAUCACAUGAACAAAUGGCACAACCGAUAGUAAAACAUACCAAUAAGGUUAAAUGUGAACGCCCGGACACCACACUUAAAAAACACCAAACCAAUCAAUACAUCCAAAUCAAAACUUAAAUAUGCAACGGUUCAGAAUGAAAACUUCAGAUUUCAAUGUUACCACGAAUCCGUAAUCUCGAGGGUGAGGCUCCUAUGAGCGUUGUUGCAACGGUGUGAGCAGUGUCGGUUCCGUUAUCGUCGAAAUAUGCCCGGUAUUUUACUACCACAUUUUCCGGCGGCCUUCAACCGAACGAUUCGAAGUUAUGGCUGCCUCGUGUGGUCAACGUCACGAAACGGAGCGGUGGUUCUGAUGUUGUUGUUGCCUUGACUUCAUCGAUGAAGCUCAGUAAGAAGGGUUUCGUGUCGACGGUUGGAGCUGAGGUGGAGGGGUCGUGAUAGUGGUGGUGGUUUGUGCGGUGGAUGGCGGAAGUGAAGAGUGACGAUGGAGAAAGGGUGAACGGCGAGGGUGGAAACGGAGGGUUUACGGUUGGAAGAGGAUGAAGAGUGAGCGAAGGUGUAUCGGCGGUAGAGAGGUUGGACGGAGGGUGAAUGAAGGGGGUUUCACGUGGUGGUCAGAGGUUGGAGGAGAUGAUGGUUACGGUGAUUUGGGUGGCGAUUUUGAUGGCUGACGAUGAUGGAUUUUUGUGUGGUUAGGAGAAGAUGGAAGGUGAGAUAUGUGUGUGAGAGAGUGAGGGAGUCUGAGUGCCCUCCAAUUGUGAGUGGGUGAGGUCAGUAUAAAUGAGAGGGAGACGCGUGGCAUUUUAGUGAGUGAGGUGAGGAGAAAAUGUGUCAGCUGGCCUUUUAUUACCGUUGGAGGUGUUAAUGAUAUUAGCUGGCAAUGAUUUAUAAGGAAUCCAAUGUUAUCCUCAUUAUUUUUAUUAUUAAAGAAAAUAAAUAUAUUAAAAAUUCAUUUUCCAAAUUCAAACUAAAUAUAUAGAGAAAAUUCUAAUUAAUUAAUUUGGAUAUUUGGACAAAGAAAAAUAAAAUAAAAUAACUAAUUAGGAAUAAAAGUCGGGCGAACAUUUGCCUUAAAAAUAAAAUCGGACGCACCAGAAUGAUCAUCAUAAAAUAUACUUAUUGAAAAAAAUACAGCGUUUCUUCAAAUUCAGAAAUAAAUUUGCACCGGUUGAAAGGCUUAGGCGGGUCAGAAUGCCACUGAAACAGCCGCCGAAAAAUGCAACGAGCACGCCAGGUUAAACUACGUGAACCGUAGAUUAAUAAUACCGGUGUCUGUAAUUUUAAUUUUGAAACUUUUUACCCGCUGAUUUACGCACAUUCUUGAGAAAUGAUUCAACCGAUUUGUCUGUAUUUUCAAUAAAUUUAUCCUGACUGAUAUUUCAGGUAUUAUUCAUGAUGGAAUGUAUGUCAUGUUAUGCAUAUGAUGCAAAAUAAAAAUGAGAUUAAUUCUAUGAAAAUUUAAAUAUGCCCGGACAAAAUUGGGGUAUGACAAUAUUAUAAGAUAUGGGCCAUAUACACUUAAGUGGACUUUUUAGGUUAUAGCCCACACAAGUGGUUCUAUAAAUAGAACCCUUGUGCAGAAGCAUUAGGGCAGUUGCAAUUUCGUUUUUCUCUCUCUCUCUCUCUCUCUCUCUCUCUCUCUCUCUCUCUCUCUCUUCAAGCCUUCAAGUCGUAGCGAGCUAGCACCUAAUUGAAGGAAUCCGUUGCGUGUGGACUUCAACGUUCGUGAUCGCUCCGUAGAUCUGCAUCAAAGGUUACAAUCUCCACAAGAGGUAACGAUUCUAUCACUGAUCAUGCCCAUUCGUAAGGAUCAUUAAAGGAGAAAUUUUAAAUUCCGUUGCAUUUUGGAUCGCCCUUCUCCUUCAAGUCCCUCAGUAGCAAUGUCUUUUUCUGAUCUAGAUGAAUCAUCAUCUUUCUUAGUUUGAGGUUCCACCUCAAGAGAGGGGUCCCUUCUAGACAGAGCGGUUGAAACUCCUUUGACAGAGUGUCCUUCGUUUAGAAUCCUAGUUACAAGGUUCCUAAUGACAUGAUCUGUAUAGUGCAUGUCAUCCUUAGGUGGAGAGUUUUCAGAGUUAUUACCUUGAUUGUUUCCUGCCGUGAAAGAAAGGCCAGGGGCGUCACCUGGGAUUAUAGAAAGUGGAAUAACAUCCAGCACGUCUUCAUCUAGAAACUCCAUGGAGGGAGUCCUUGCUUUAUGAGUGGGUUUUGAACCAGAGGACGAGGGAUGUUGAGACAUUUUGUUGAACUUUUGAGAGAAAUGUGGUUUCCCUACCAGAGGUUGUCUGAGAAGUUGGAUGAAGAUGGAAAUGGUUAUGUUGAGGUAGCGUGUGGAAAUGACAUAGAUACUAGUUCCAAUACUAGGUAAUGAUUUACCAUAAAUGAGGCACUUUCUUUUAAGUGGACAGACAAUAUUUUUAUUACCUUUUCCACUCCACUUUAAUUGCUAUAAAUUCUCAUAAAUACAAAUCCCCAAUUUCCCUCUUAAACAUUCAAACUGAUUAGCAUCCAAAGCUUUUGUAAAUAUGUCAUCUAAUUACAUUUCAGUAGUAACAUGCUCCAGUGCUAUGAUUUUCUCUUCCACAAGUUCUCUAAUAAAGUGAUGACGAAUAUCAAUGUGUUUUGUCCUGCCGUGCUGAAUAGGAUUUUUGGAAAUAUUUAUAGCACUCAGGUUGUCACAGUACAAUGUCAUGACAUCUUGUGUGACAUUGUAUUCAGUCAACAUUUGUUUCAUCCAAACCAGUUGAGAACAACUACUCCAUACAAUGUCAUGACAUCUUGUGUGACAUUGUAUUCAGUCAACAUUUGUUUCAUCCAAACCAGUUGAGAACAACUACUCCUAGCUGCUAUGUAUUCAGCUUCAGCAGUGGAUAGGGACACACAAUUUUCUUUCUUGAUAAACCAUGAUAUCAAAUUGUUCCCCAAGAAGAAACAUCCUCCUGAUGUGCUUUUCCUAUCAUCAGCACUUCCAGCCCAGUUAGUAUCACAGUAACCAAUCAGCAUGGAUCCAUGUCCAUGAGUAUAUAACAUCUCAUAGUCACUGGUGCCAAUGACAUAUUUUAGUAUUCUCUUCACUUGGUUUAUGUGACUGACUUUUGGUUCAACUUGAUAUCUAGCCCACACACCUACAGCAAAUGCAAUGUCAGGUCUUCUUGCUGUGAGAUAUAGCAGACUACCUAUCAUGCUUCCGUAUAGACUUUGAUCUACACUUACACCAUUUUCAUCUUUGGAGAUUUUCACAUAUGUAGAAGCAGGUGU